rnacentral:lncRNA from 1 species
CAUAAACUAUUGUCGUUAAUGAAGUUUUUAAAAUUUAGAAAACAUUAUGUAAAUAAUUAUACUGAUGUGUGUAUAUACAAACCCACUGAUGUUUUGUCACAAUAUUUAACUUAUAUAAAAUAUAGUAAUAAUCACAACAAACAAAAGCUCGCUGAAAGUAAGGCAUACAUGGAAGCUUUUAAUAAAAACAUAAAUAAUAACAAUAUACCUAAUAAAAAAACAGCUAGUAACACUAGUACCACAAACAAUAACAUUAAUAAAAACGACGACAUUAAUAUUAAGAGGUGCAAUAACAAUAUUAAAAAUAAUAAUACAAACAAUGUCUCUAGUAUUUACAGUCACAAUAACACAAUUAAUAAAAUUUAUGAUGACGUGUACGAAGAUGGUGUUCCUCUUGUUAUAAACAACUUAUCAUUAAACAUUGAUGAUACUUUCGAAAAAGAAGAAAAAAAUAAUUUCUUAAACACAAACAAAACAAGUGUUGUGAUAAAACAAAAUGAUGAUAAUUAUAAUGAAGAGUUAUUUGAAGAUGGAAUGGAUAAAAAUAACAAAAUUUAUAAUUUAGAUAAUACUAUUCAUAAUUUGAGUACAUGUGGAAAAAAAAAACAACCAGAACACUCAGAAAAAAAAUUAGUACAUUUAUAUGAACUCGAUGUUGAACAAAAUUGUGACGAAUCUGAUAGUUCUUAUGACAAACGUGGUGGCGCUUAUGACAAACGUGGUGGUUUGUAUGACAUAUUUGGUAAGUACGAUAAAUAUAAAGAACAAAAUAGAACAAUUCACAAAAAUGAAUUAACAUUAUUAACAGAAGAUAUAUCAAAUGAAGAGGUUUGUAUUCAUCUGGAUGAAAAUUAUUUGUUUAAUAAUGAAAAUGAUAAUUCAAAUGAAAAUAUAUAUAUCGAAAUGUAUAAACAAAUUGAACAUAAAUAUUUAAAUAUGACUAUAUAUGAAGGUUUAAUUUUAUGGAUGUCUGUUAUUUUAACUACAAAAUUAUUUACAUUGAUGUUUUUUUUUGUUUUUUCACCUAUUUUUAAUAUAUUUAUUUUAUGUACAUUAGCCUAUAUUAGUGAUAUUAAAUGUAAGCUUUUAUUAGUAAUGGUCAUUUUCCCAUUUUUUUUGAAUUUCAUUAUAUAUUAUGUCACUGAUAGUAUAAUAAAAUCGAAUCAAAAAAACAUAGAUGAUAAUAGUACCAUUUUUUAAUUUUACUCAUUAUUUUUCACUUUAUUUGUUAUUUUUCAUUUUAUUUGCCAUUUUACAUCUUAUUUGCCAUUAUUCAUUUUAUUUGCCAUUUUACAUUUUAUUUGCCAUUUUUCAUUCUAUUUGCCAUUUUUCAUUCUAUUUGCCAUUUUUCAUUUUAUUUGCUAUUUUUUUUUUUUCAUUUUUUUGUUUUUUUGAGCAUAUGCAAAACUUAGAUUUUUCAAUUUUUACUUGACACAUACUAUUAUAUAUAUUAUAUGUCACUCUUUUAAAUAUUAUCUUAAAAAUAAAGGUAUUUGUCUAAUUCA